rnacentral:rRNA from 1 species
CCUACGGGUGGCUGCAGUGGGGAAUCUUAGACAAUGGGGGCAACCCUGAUCUAGCCAUGCCGCGUGGAUGAUGAAGGCCUUAGGGUCGUAAAGUCCUUUCGCCGGGGAAGAUAAUGACGGUACCCGGUAAAGAAGCCCCGGCUAACUCCGUGCCAGCAGCCGCGGUAAUACGGAGGGGGCUAGCGUUGUUCGGAAUGACUGGGCGUAAAGCGCGCGUAGGCGGGCUGGGAAGUCAGAGGUGAAAGCCCGGGGCUCAACCCCGGAAUUGCCUUUGA